AACGAACGCUGGCGGCAGGCCUAACGCAUGCAAGUCGAACGAGAAGCCACCUUCGGGUGGUGGACAGUGGCAGACGGGUGAGUAACGCGUGGGAACGUGCCUUUCGGUUCGGGAUAACCCAGGGAAACUUGGGCUAAUACCGGAUACGCCCUUCGGGGGAAAGAUUCAUUGCCGAAAGAUCGGCCCGCGUCGGAUUAGCUAGUUGGUGGGGUAAAAGCCUACCAAGGCGACGAUCCGUAGCUGGUCUGAGAGGAUGACCAGCCACACUGGGACUGAGACACGGCCCAGACUCCUACGGGAGGCAGCAGUGGGGAAUAUUGGACAAUGGGCGCAAGCCUGAUCCAGCCAUGCCGCGUGGGUGAAGAAGGCCUUAGGGUUGUAAACCCCUUUCAGCGGGGAAGAUAAUGACGGUACCCGCAGAAGAAGUCCCGGCUAACUCCGUGCCAGCCGCCGCGGUAACAC
rnacentral:rRNA from 1 species